UUGUCUCUGGGGUCAGACGUGUUCUGGAAUACAGAUAGAGACCCAUGGCCAUAUUUUUUUUAAAAUUUUUUUUAAUUUUAUUUAUUUAUGAUAGGCACACAGUGAGGGAGAGAGAAGCAGAGACAUAGGCAGAGGGAGAAGCAGGCUCCAUGCACCGGGAGCCCGAUGUGGGAUUCGAUCCCGGGUCUCCAGGAUCGCGCCCCGGGCCAAAGGCAGACACCAAACCGCUGCGCCACUCAGGGAUCCCGAGACCCAUGGCCAUAUUAACAGAGCUUGUGGAAAGUGGUACUCUGAUAUCAGAUGGAGGAGGGCCAAGGUGUUCAGCCCAGCUUCGUACAGCCAAGGGUGACCAAUGACAAAUAAGAGAGAUUACAAUUUCCGCCUAAGUUCCUGACAAAGAAUUGCCAACAUAAGCCUGUGGAUCAGGGCUGAAGUUCUGGGUAGAAACUUGAGAAUCACCAACGUUCCCAAUGAAAGACUCUUUCAUAAGAAAACAUGCGGCUUUGGUGCAGGUACAUUUUAAGCCAAAUUAUAGAAAGGGCACAGUCCCAAGCUUCAAAAUUCUCAGUGCAUUAUGUAGGCAACUUGAUUAACAGGACUAUCAAAUGUCUCUCAGAGAGAAUGCUUUGAAUGUUUUACCUUUUUAAAAAAAAAAAAAAGAAAGAAAAACACUUCCAAGUUGACAUGUAAAAAUUAACUACAUUUUUCAACAAGAUAUUGGAGCUUGUUAAAUUGUCAUUCAUUCCAUGGGUAUUCAUUAGAUAUCUCCACAUCUGACAGACACCAUAUUAGACUUUGAAAUACAAAGAUGUACAAGACACAUUUCCUUCCCUCAAGGAGCCUCAUGACUAAUUUGUUUUGUGCUACAUCAUAAAUGUGCCUGGUAUGCUUGUCUAGCUCUUCUUCCUUCUUUGGGAUUUUCUUCAGGUAGGGGUGAGUACACAUCUUGGUUUGCUCAGGACAGUCCCGAUUUGUGUGCACAGCCGGAAUUCUUGCUAACUCUACCCUUUGCUCUCCAGAAAGCCUCAGUUUGGUUGAUAGGAUGAUAUAGUAAUCCUAACCAUAAGCCCUGAUGAAUGAGUAGUCUUAAGAAGACAUGUUUUUAUCUGGUGACUGGCUCUUCCAUCCACAUCUGGUUAAACCAGUAGUGAACAUCUGUCUGAAGUAAAGCCAAUCAGAUUCCCUCUCUUGAAAAUUUGCACUAAGACUCAGAGGUUGAGCCAGAUGGAGUUGAGCAAUGGAGCUGAGGUAAGGUAGAGUGGCCAGCCACCAGAUCUAUGACAACAACCCAGAGCCAUAUCUGCAACGUAUCCUUGUGAGGGAAAAGGAAUCAAGAGCUUUGGACAGAAGCCAUGU
rnacentral:lncRNA from 1 species